rnacentral:rRNA from 1 species
GAUGAACGCUGACAGAAUGCUUAACACAUGCAAGUCUACUUGAAUUUGGGUUUUUAACUUAGAUUUGGGUGGCGGACGGGUGAGUAACGCGUAAAGAACUUGCCUCACAGCUAGGGACAACAUUUAGAAAUGAAUGCUAAUACCUAAUAUUAUGAUAAUAGGGCAUCCUAUAAUUAUGAAAGCUAUAUGCGCUGUGAGAGAGCUUUGCGUCCCAUUAGCUAGUUGGAGAGGUAACAGCUCACCAAGGCGAUGAUGGGUAGCCGGCCUGAGAGGGUGAUCGGCCACAAGGGGACUGAGACACGGCCCUUACUCCUACGGGAGGCAGCAGUGGGGAAUAUUGGACAAUGGACCGAGAGUCUGAUCCAGCAAUUCUGUGUGCACGAUGAAGUUUUUCGGAAUGUAAAGUGCUUUCAGUUGGGAAGAAAGAAAUGACGGUACCGACAGAAGAAGUGACGGCUAAAUACGUGCCAGCAGCCGCGGUAAUACGUAUGUCACGAGCGUUAUCCGGAUUUAUUGGGCGUAAAGCGCGUCUAGGUGGUUAUAUAAGUCUGAUGUGAAAAUGCAGGGCUCAACUCUGUAUUGCGUUGGAAACUGUAUAACUAGAGUACUGGAGAGGUAAGCGGAACUACAAGUGUAGAGGUGAAAUUCGUAGAUAUUUGUAGGAAUGCCGAUGGGGAAGCCAGCUUACUGGACAGAUACUGACGCUGAAGCGCGAAAGCGUGGGUAGCAAACAGG